rnacentral:rRNA from 1 species
GACGAACGUUGGCGGCGUGCUUAAUACAUGCAAGUCCACUGAAGCAGUGGUAGCAAUAUCGCUGUGGAGGUGGCGCACGGGUGAGUAACACGUAGGUAAUCUGCCUUCAGGUCUGGCAUAACUCCGGGAAACCGGGGCUAAUAGCAGAUGAUGCAGCGGCUCGACAUCGAGACAGUUGUUAAAGCUAUGGCGCCUGAAGAUGAGCCUGCGUCUGAUUAGCUAGUUGGCGGGGUAACGGCCCACCAAGGCAACGAUCAGUAGCUGGUCUGAGAGGAUGAUCAGCCACACUGGAACUGAGACACGGUCCAGACUCCUACGGGAGGCAGCAGUAAGGAAUAUUGCUCAAUGGGAGAAAUCCUGAAGCAGCAACGCUGCGUGAGGGACGAAGGGCUUUUGCUUGUAAACCUCUGUAGUGAGAGAAAAAAAUCCCAAUCUUUGGGACAUGAUGGUAUCUCAAAAGUAAGCCCCGGCUAACUACGUG